UUAACUCAAAUUUAUUUAGUUGAAACGUUUGCCUACGUUUGUCGCUAGGGAUGCUGUUCCAACUACAUAAAAAUUUUAUUAA
rnacentral:pre_miRNA from 1 species